GACGAACGCUGGCGGCGUGCUUAGCACAUGCAAGUCGAACGGAAAGGCCUGUCCUUCCUUGUGUUGGACGGGUACUCGAGUGGCGAACGGGUGAGUAACACGUGAGUGAUCUGCCCCCAACUUGGGUAUAAGCCUGGGAAACUGUGUCUAAUUCCCGAUAGGACUGCAGGGUGGUGCCUGUGGUGGAAAACGAUUUUCUAGUGGUUGGGGAUGAGCUCGCGGACUAUCAGCUUGUUGGUGGGGUAAUGGCCUACCAAGGCGGCGACGGGUAGCCGGCCUGAGAGGGGGGACGGCCACAUUGGGACUGGGAUACGGCCCAGACUCCUGCGGGAGGCAGCAGUGGGGAAGAGUGCGCAAUGGGCGGAAGCCUGAUGCAGCGACGCCGCGUGGGGGAUGACGGCCUUCGGGUUGUAAACUCCUUUCGACCGCGAGGAAGCCGCCUGGUUGGAAGGGUGGUGACGGUAGUGGUAGAAGAAGCACCGGCUAACUACGUG
rnacentral:rRNA from 1 species